rnacentral:rRNA from 1 species
GACGAACGCUGGCGGCGCGCUUAACACAUGCAAGUCGAGCGAGAACCCAGGCUUCGGCCUGGGGGAAAGCGGCGAACGGGUGAGUAUCACGUGGGUAAUCUGCCCUCGACAUCGGGAUAGCCCGGGGAAACCCGGAUUAAUACCGAAUGGCCCAUCCGCUCUUCGGGGCGGCUGGAAAAGGUAGCUUCGGCCUCCAGUCGAGGAGGAGCCCGCGGCGGAUUAGCUUGUUGGUGGGGUAAUGGCUCACCAAGGCGACGAUCCGUAGCUGGUCUGAGAGGACGAUCAGCCACACUGGGACUGAGACACGGCCCAGACUCCUACGGGAGGCAGCAGUGGGGAAUCUUGCGCAAUGGGCGAAAGCCUGACGCAGCGACGCCGCGUGCGGGAAGAAGGCCUUCGGGUUGUAAACCGCUUUCAGGAGGGACGAAGCCACUCGGGUUAAUAGCCCAGAGGGUGACGGUACCUCCAGAAGAAGCCCCGGCUAACUACGUGCCAGCCGCCGCCGUAACAC